CCCAACUAUCCCUAUUAAUCAUUACGUCAAUCCUAGAAACCAACAAAAUAGGAUCAACGUCCUAUUUCAUUAUUCCAUGCUAAUGUAUUCAAGCGCGAGCCUGCUUUAAACACUAAUUUUUUCAAAGUAACAGUCCUGAUUCCCCGCCACACCAAAUGAAUGACAUGAUGGUUCGUCAGAAGGUAGGAACCAGUAAUACCAGUACGUACCUAAGGCACGACCAACGUACUGAUCCCGAAAUUCAACUACGAGCUUUUUAACUGCAACAACUUUAAUAUACGCUAUUGGAGCUGGAAUUACCGCGGCUGCUGGCACCAGACUUGCCCUCCAA
rnacentral:misc_RNA from 2 species